UACGUAGGGUGCGAGCGUUAAUCGGAAUUACUGGGCGUAAAGCGUGCGCAGGCGGUUUGCUAAGACAGGUGUGAAAUCCCCGGGCUUAACCUGGGAACUGCGCUUGUGACUGGCAGGCUAGAGUACGGUAGAGGUGGGUGGAAUUCCUGGUGUAGCAGUGAAAUGCGUAGAUAUCAGGAGGAACACCGAUGGCGAAGGCAGCCCCCUGGGCCUGUACUGACGCUCAUGCACGAAAGCGUGGGGAGCAAACAGGAUUAGAUA
rnacentral:rRNA from 1 species